rnacentral:rRNA from 1 species
GACGAACGCUGGCGGCGUGCUUAACACAUGCAAGUCGAACGGUGAAGCCCCAGCUUGCUGGAGUGGAUCAGUGGCGAACGGGUGAGUAACACGUGAGCAACCUGCCCCUGACUCUGGAAUAAGCGCUGGAAACGGCGUCUAAUACUGGAUACGAGAAGGGUCCGCAUGGGCACUUUCUGGAAAGUUUUUCGGUUGGGGAUGGGCUCGCGGCCUAUCAGCUUGUUGGUGAGGUAGUGGCUCACCAAGGCGACGACGGGUAGCCGGCCUGAGAGGGCGACCGGCCACACUGGGACUGAGACACGGCCCAGACUCCUACGGGAGGCAGCAGUGGGGAAUAUUGCACAAUGGGCGGAAGCCUGAUGCAGCGACGCCGCGUGAGGGAUGACGGCCUUCGGGUUGUAAACCUCUUUCAGCAGGGAAGAAGCGAAAGUGACGGUACCUGCAGAAGAAGCACCGGCUAACUACGUG